rnacentral:rRNA from 1 species
GGGAAAACCGGAGCUAAUACCGGAUAAGUUCCUUGAACCGCAUGGUUCAAGGAUGAAAGACGGUUUCGGCUGUCACUUACAGAUGGACCCGCGGCGCAUUAGCUAGUUGGUGAGGUAACGGCUCACCAAGGCGACGAUGCGUAGCCGACCUGAGAGGGUGAUCGGCCACACUGGGACUGAGACACGGCCCAGACUCCUACGGGAGGCAGCAGUAGGGAAUCUUCCGCAAUGGACGAAAGUCUGACGGAGCAACGCCGCGUGAGUGAUGAAGGUUUUCGGAUCGUAAAGCUCUGUUGUUAGGGGAAGAAACAAAGUGCUAGAGUAACUGCUUGCACCUUGACGGUUCCUAACCAGAAAGCCACGGCUAACUACGUGCCAGCAGCCGCGGUAAUACGUAGGUGGCAAAGCGUUGUCCGGAAUUAUUUGGGCGUAAAGGGCUCGCAGGCGGUUUUCUUAAGUCUGAUGUGAAAAGCCCCCCGGCUCAACCGGGGGAGGGUCAUUUGGAAAACUGGGAAAACUUUGAGUGCAGAAAGAGGAGAGUGGGAAUUCCAACGUGUAGCGGUGAAAUUGCGUAGAGAUGGUGGAGGAAACACCAGUGGCGAAUGCUGACUCUCUUGGUCUUGUUACUUGACGCUGAGGAGCGAAAGCGUGGGGGAAGC